rnacentral:tRNA from 1 species
GCGGUUGUGAUGGAAUUGGUAGACAUGAUGGUCUUAGAAGCCCUUGCCUAGAGCAUGUGAGUUCGAGUCUCACCUUCCGUA